AGUCGACGGUAACAGAACUAGCUUGCUAGUUGCUGACGAGUGGCGGACGGGUGAGUAAUAUAUAGGGAUCUGCCUAAUAGUGGGGGACAACGUGUGGAAACGCACGCUAAUACCGCAUACGCUCUACGGAGGAAAGUGGGGGCUCUUCGGACCUCAUGCUAUUAGAUGAACCUAUAUCGGAUUAGCUUGUUGGUGAGGUAAUGGCUCACCAAGGCGACGAUCCGUAGCUGGUUUGAGAGAAUGAUCAGCCACACUGGGACUGAGACACGGCCCAGACUCCUACGGGAGGCAGCAGUGGGGAAUAUUGCACAAUGGACGAAAGUCUGAUGCAGCAAUGCCGCGUGUGUGAAGAAGGCCUUCGGGUUGUAAAGCACUUUCAGAUGUGAGGAAAAGCAGUCUAUUAAUACUAGAUUGCCGUGACGUUAACAUCAGAAGAAGGACCGGCUAACUCCGUGCCAGCAGCCGCGGUAAUACGGAGGGUCCAAGCGUUAAUCGGAAUUACUGGGCGUAAAGCGCGCGUAGGCGGAUAUUUAAGUCAGAUGUGAAAUCCCUGGGCUCAACCUAGGAACUGCAUUUGAAACUGGGUAUCUAGAGUAUGGUAGAGGUGAGUGGAAUUUCAGGUGUAGCGGUGAAAUGCGUAGAGAUCUGAAGGAACAUCAGUGGCGAAGGCGACUCACUGGGCCAUUACUGACGCUGAGGUGCGAAAGCG
rnacentral:rRNA from 1 species